rnacentral:rRNA from 1 species
GACGAACGCUGGCGGCGUGCCUAAUACAUGCAAGUAGAACGCUGAAGGAGGAGCUUGCUUCUCCGGAUGAGUUGCGAACGGGUGAGUAACGCGUAGGUAACCUGCCUGGUAGCGGGGGAUAACUAUUGGAAACGAUAGCUAAUACCGCAUAACAGUAGAUGUUGCAUGACAUUUGCUUAAAAGGUGCAAUUGCAUCACUACCAGAUGGACCUGCGUUGUAUUAGCUAGUUGGUGAGGUAACGGCUCACCAAGGCGACGAUACAUAGCCGACCUGAGAGGGUGGUCGGCCACACUGGGAAUGAGACACGGCCCAGACUCCUACGGGAGGCAGCAGGAGGGAAUCUUCGGCAAUGGACGGAAGGCUGACCGAGCAACGCCGCGUGAGUGAAGAAGGUUUUCGGAUCGUAAAGCUCUGUUGUAAGAGAAGAACGAGUGUGAGAGUGGAAAGUUCACACUGUGACGGUAUCUUACCAGAAAGGGACGGCUAACUACGUG